UAUGAAAGCGGGCUUGGAAUCCUUCGGGGUUCUCAGCCUUGCUGAAUUAUUCACCCGUGUCUUUUGCGUACUUCUUGUUUCCUUGGUGGGCUCGCCCACCAUAGGACCAACCAUAAACCUUUUGUAAUUGCAAUCAGCGUCAGUAACAAAUUAAUAAUUACAACUUUUAACAACGGAUCUCUUGGUUCUGGCAUCGAUGAAGAACGCAGCGAAAUGCGAUAAGUAGUGUGAAUUGCAGAAUUCAGUGAAUCAUCGAAUCUUUGAACGCACAUUGCGCCCUUUGGUAUUCCAAAGGGCAUGCCUGUUCGAGCGUCAUUUGUACCCUCAAGCUUUGCUUGGUGUUGGGCGUCUUGUCUCCAGUUCGCUGGAGACUCGCCUUAAAGUCAUUGGCAGCCGGCCUACUGGUUUCGGAGCGCAGCACAAGUCGCGCUCUCUUCCAGCCAAGGUCAGCAUCCACAAAGCCUUUUUUCAACUUUUGACCUCGGAUCAGGUAGGGAUACCCGCUGAACUUAAGCAUAUCAAUAAA
rnacentral:rRNA from 1 species